GCGAUACAGGGUGACAGCCCCGUACACAAAAAUGCACAUGCUGUGAGCUCGAUGAGUAGGGCGGGACACGUGGUAUCCUGUCUGAAUAUGGGGGGACCAUCCUCCAAGGCUAAAUACUCCUGACUGACCGAUAGUGAACCAGUACCGUGAGGGAAAGGCGAAAAGAACCCCGGCGAGGGGAGUGAAAAAGAACCUGAAACCGUGUACGUACAAGCAGUGGGAGCACGCUUAGGCGUGUGACUGCGUACCUUUUGUAUAAUGGGUCAGCGACUUAUAUUCUGUAGCAAGGUUAACCGAAUAGGGGAGCCGAAGGGAAACCGAGUCUUAACUGGGCGUUAAGUUGCAGGGUAUAGACCCGAAACCCGGUGAUCUAGCCAUGGGCAGGUUGAAGGUUGGGUAACACUAACUGGAGGACCGAACCGACUAAUGUUGAAAAAUUAGCGGAUGACUUGUGGCUGGGGGUGAAAGGCCAAUCAAACCGGGAGAUAGCUGGUUCUCCCCGAAAGCUAUUUAGGUAGCGCCUCGUGAAUUCAUCUCCGGGGGUAGAGCACUGUUUCGGCAAGGGGGUCAUCCCGACUUACCAACCCGAUGCAAACUGCGAAUACCGGAGAAUGUUAUCACGGGAGACACACGGCGGGUGCUAACGUCCGUCGUGAAGAGGGAAACAACCCAGACCGCCAGCUAAGGUCCCAAAGUCAUGGUUAAGUGGGAAACGAUGUGGGAAGGCCCAGACAGCCAGGAUGUUGGCUUAGAAGCAGCCAUCAUUUAAAGAAAGCGU
rnacentral:rRNA from 1 species